GCGCNCUUUUUAGUAGCGAGCGGCAAACGGGUGAGUAACGACGUGGGAAUCUACCCAUCUCUACGGAAUAACACAGAGAAAUUUGUGCUAAUACCGUAUACGGUCCCUUUAGGGUAGAAAGAUUUAUCGGAGAUGGAUGAGCCCGCGUUGGAUUAGCUAGUUAGGUGAGGUAACGGCUCACCAAGGCGACGAUCCAUAGCUGGUCUGAGAGGAUGAUCAGCCACACUGGGACUGAGACACGGCCCAG
rnacentral:rRNA from 1 species